rnacentral:rRNA from 1 species
GAUGAACGCUAGCGGCAGGCUUAACACAUGCAAGUCGAGGGGUAUAGUUCUUCGGAACUAGAGACCGGCGCACGGGUGCGUAACGCGUAUGUAAUCUACCUUUUACAGGGGGAUAGCCCAGCGAAAUUUGGAUUAAUACCCCAUAGUAUGUUGUGGUGGCAUAACUAUAAAAUUAAAGUUCCAACGGUAAAAGAUGAGCAGGCGUCCCAUUAGCUAGAUGGUAAGGUAACGGCAUACCAUGGCUACGAUGGGUAGGGGUCCUGAGAGGGAGAUCCCCCACACUGGUACUGAGACACGGACCAGACUCCUACGGGAGGCAGCAGUGAGGAAUAUUGGACAAUGGGCGCAAGCCUGAUCCAGCCAUGCCGCGUGCAGGAUGACGGUCCUAUGGAUUGUAAACUGCUUUUGUACAGGAAGAAACACUCCCUCGUGAGGGAGCUUGACGGUACUGUAAGAAUAAGGAUCGGCUAACUCCGUGCCAGCAGCCGCAGUAA